rnacentral:rRNA from 1 species
AACGAACGCUGGCGGCAGGCCUAACACAUGCAAGUCGAACGCUCCAGCAAUGGAGAGUGGCAGACGGGUGAGUAACGCGUGGGAACCUACCCUUUGGUUCGGAAUAGCCCAGGGAAACUUGGGGUAAUACCGGAUAAGCCCUUCGGGGGAAAGAUUUUCGCCAAUGGAUGGGCCCGCGUCGGAUUAGCUAGUUGGUGGGGUAACGGCCCACCAAGGCGACGAUCCGUAGCUGGUCUGAGAGGAUGAUCAGCCACACUGGGACUGAGACACGGCCCAGACUCCUACGGGAGGCAGCAGUGGGGAAUAUUGGACAAUGGGGGAAACCCUGAUCCAGCAAUGCCGCGUGAGUGAUGAAGGCCUUAGGGUUGUAAAGCUCUUUCGACGGGGACGAUGAUGACGGUACCCGUAGAAGAAGCCCCGGCUAACUUCGUGC